rnacentral:ncRNA from 1 species
AAAAGUAGAGGUUGCAGAUUUCAUCAGUAGAAUAUUCGACGAAGUCAGGUUCGAUUGAGAAUAUUAGAAAGGGACAUCUGCCGAAGGAUUGAUUGCCUGUCUCUUUCAUUUCCUGGGCACUGAGUUAAGAACUCUUUGACUGUCACCAACGGUGGAGCGCUACGUG